rnacentral:rRNA from 1 species
GAUGAACGCUGGCGGCGUGCCUAAUACAUGCAAGUCGAGCGAACGGACGAGAAGCUUGCUUCUCUGAUGUUAGCGGCGGACGGGUGAGUAACACGUGGAUAACCUACCUGUAAGACUGGGAUAACUUCGGGAAACCGGAGCUAAUACCGGAUGAUAUUUUGAACCGCAUGGUUCAAAAGUGAAAGACGGUCUUGCUGUCACUUAUAGAUGGAUCCGCGCUGCAUUAGCUAGUUGGUAAGGUAACGGCUUACCAAGGCAACGAUGCAUAGCCGACCUGAGAGGGUGAUCGGCCACACUGGAACUGAGACACGGUCCAGACUCCUACGGGAGGCAGCAGUAGGGAAUCUUCCGCAAUGGGCGAAAGCUUGACGGAGCAACGCCGCGUGAGUGAUGAAGGUCUUCGGAUCGUAAAACUCUGUUAUUAGGGAAGAACAAAUGUGUAAGUAACUGUGCACAUCUUGACGGUACCUAAUCAGAAAGCCACGGCUAACUACGUG